rnacentral:rRNA from 1 species
UACGGAGGGGGCUAGCGUUGUUCGGAAUUACUGGGCGUAAAGCGCGCGUAGGCGGACCUGCAAGUCGGGGGUGAAAGCCCGAGGCUCAACCUCGGAACUGCCUUCGAUACUGCGGGUCUCGAGUCCGGGAGAGGUGAGUGGAAUUCCUAGUGUAGAGGUGAAAUUCGUAGAUAUUAGGAAGAACACCCGUGGCGAAGGCGGUUCUCUGGGACGGUACUGACGCUGAGACGCGAAAGCGUGGGGAGCGAACAGGG